rnacentral:rRNA from 1 species
UAGGGAAUCUUCGGCAAUGGGGGCAACCCUGACCGAGCAACGCCGCGUGAGUGAAGAAGGUUUUCGGAUCGUAAAGCUCUGUUGUAAGAGAAGAACGAGUGUGAGAGUGGAAAGUUCACACUGUGACGGUAACUUACCAGAAAGGGACGGCUAACUACGUGCCAGCAGCCGCGGUAAUACGUAGGUCCCGAGCGUUAUCCGGAUUUAUUGGGCGUAAAGCGAGCGCAGGCGGUUAGAUAAGUCUGAAGUUAAAGGCUGUGGCUUAACCAUAGUGCGCUUUGGAAACUGUUUAACUUGAGUGCAGAAGGGGAGAGUGGAAUUCCAUGUGUAGCGGUGAAAUGCGUAGAUAUAUGGAGGAACACCGGUGGCGAAAGCGGCUCUCUGGUCUGUAACUGACGCUGAGGCUCGAAAGCGUGGGGAGCAAACAGGAUUAGAUACCCUGGUAGUCCACGCCGUAAACGAUGAGUGCUAGGUGUUGGGUCCUUUCCGGGACUCAGUGCCGCAGCUAACGCAUUAAGCACUCCGCCUGGGGAGUACGACCGCAAGGUUG